rnacentral:rRNA from 1 species
AGUGAACGCUGGCGGUAGGCCUAACACAUGCAAGUCGAACGGCAGCACAGUAAGAGCUUGCUCUUACGGGUGGCGAGUGGCGGACGGGUGAGGGAUACAUCGGAAUCUACUUUUUCGUGGGGGAUAACGUAGGGAAACUUACGCUAAUACCGCAUACGACCUACGGGUGAAAGCAGGGGAUCUUCGGACCUUGCGCGAUUGAAUGAGCCGAUGUCGGAUUAGCUAGUUGGCGGGGUAAAGGCCCACCAAGGCGACGAUCCGUAGCUGGUCUGAGAGGAUGAUCAGCCACACUGGAACUGAGACACGGUCCAGACUCCUACGGGAGGCAGCAGUGGGGAAUAUUGGACAAUGGGCGCAAGCCUGAUCCAGCCAUACCGCGUGGGUGAAGAAGGCCUUCGGGUUGUAAAGCCCUUUUGUUGGGAAAGAAAAGCAGCAGGUUAAUACCCCGCUGUUCUGACGGUAACCAAAGAAUAAGCACCGGCUAACUUCGUG